rnacentral:rRNA from 1 species
AGAUUGAACGCUGGCGGCAGGCCUAACACAUGCAAGUCGAGCGGUAGAGAGGUGCUUGCACCUCUUGAGAGCGGCGGACGGGUGAGUAAUGCCUAGGAAUCUGCCUAGUGGUGGGGGAUAACGUUCGGAAACGGACGCUAAUACCGCAUACGUCCUACGGGAGAAAGCGGGGGACCUUCGGGCCUCGCGCCAUUAGAUGAGCCUAGGUCGGAUUAGCUAGUUGGUGAGGUAAUGGCUCACCAAGGCGACGAUCCGUAACUGGUCUGAGAGGAUGAGUCAGUCACACUGGAACUGAGACACGGUCCAGACUCCGUACGGGAGCAGCGAGUAGGGGAAUAUUGGACAAGUGGGACGAAAGCCUAGAUCCAGCCAUGCCGCGUGUGUAGAAGAAGGUC